GCCGGGCACGGUGGUGCGGGCCUGUAGUCCCAGCUACUCGGGAGGCUGAGGCAGGAGGAUCGCUUGAGCCCAAGAGUUCUGGGCUGUAGUGCGCUAUGCCGAUUGGGUGUCCGCACUAAGUUCGGCAUCAAUAUGGUGACCUCCCGGGAGCGGGGGACCACCAGGUUGCCUAAGGAGGGGUGAACCGGCCCAGGUUGGAAACGGAGCAGAUCACAGGAAAUAUUAGGAUUUAUUUAUUUAUUUUUUAAAGAUUUUAUUUAUUUAUUUGAGAGAGAGAGAAUGAGAGAUAGCAU
rnacentral:SRP_RNA from 1 species